GGUGCUUCUGCUAUUGGCUGGGGACGAAAGGUGGCUGCGGAGGGUUGUGAGCAGGAGAUGUUCAAGCUACAGGAUAGUACGGCUCUGAUACCAGUUGUUAGGAUCUGAACUGUAACUCUCAUCGAGAGGAUGACACUAGGAAGAGUUGGGGCAAUUUUCUGGGUUUUCUUUCCACAAUACCAUAUCCAACCAAGGGUUGGGGAUACAUAUUUAUAGCUGGCCAAGUAGCCAACCAGCC
rnacentral:lncRNA from 1 species